UACGGAGGGUGCGAGCGUUGUCCGGAAUCACUGGGCGUAAAGGGCGCGUAGGCGGCCGUGUAAGUCACUUGUGAAAUCCCGGGGCUCAACUCCGGGGCUGCAGGUGAGACUGCAUGGCUAGAGCUUGGUAGAGGCGAGUGGAAUUCCCGGUGUAGUGGUGAUAUGCGUAGAUAUCGGGAGGAACACCUGUGGCGAAGGCGGCUUUCUGGGCCUUACCUGACGCUGAGACGCGAAAGCGUGGGGAGCGAACCGG
rnacentral:rRNA from 1 species